CCCGGCCGAGGUUGCCUGCCUCUGGAUUGGCUGUGUCGCUGCCGCGCCUUCCUUCGGCGGGGGCGGGACUUCCGGUCCUUGCGGGAGGUGUGGUCCACUGGCGCUGGAGGCGGGCGCCUCUGGUCGCGGAGCGGGGAGGCUGUCCUCUUCGCGUGACGGCCCUUCCCACGCCGCAGCUCCGUUCCGCGGAGACGGAGCCAGAGACGGACGGAGCUUCCAGCCUCGUCCCCGGCCCCGGGCCGGAGACCCGAGAGUGAGAUGGCUUGCCGGGCGUCCCACCGCCAGCUCGCCGAGAGAGACAGAGCACAAGCAAGGGGAGUGGCAGGCAGAGGGAGAAGCAGGCUCCCUGCUGAGCAGAGAACCUGACAUGGGCACACUAGCUACGCAUACAGUGGUAGCACGUCACCAUGCUGCUGCUGCUGAUUCCCAACAGCUAGCUCUGUUGGAAACUUAUUUGCAGUGUGUCGGGCAUUGUGCUAAAUACUUUUCAUGUAAGGUGGAUAUGCUACCUUCACAGAUGAAGAAAUCAAGACUUCCGGAGGUGAAGUAGUUUUCCUAAAUCACAUCAUCAACUAAUGGCAGAGCUGGAACACAAAAGCAAUUCUCUUUCUAACUACUGUGUGGCUAACCUGUAAAUAAAAUGUUGA